rnacentral:rRNA from 1 species
UACGUAGGGGGCAAGCGUUGUCCGGAUUUAUUGGGCGUAAAGAGCGUGUAGGCGGCCAUACAGGUCAGCUGUGAAAACUCGAGGCUCAACCUCGAGACGUCGGUUGAAACCGUAUGGCUAGAGUCCGGAAGAGGAGAGUGGAAUUCCCGGUGUAGCGGUGAAAUGCGCAGAUAUCGGGAAGAACACCGGUGGCGAAGGCGGCAUCCUGGACCAAUUCUGACGCUGAGGCACGAAGGUCAGGGGAGCAAACGGG